rnacentral:rRNA from 1 species
AGUCCAUGCCGUAAACGAUGUGUGUUAGACGUUGGAAAUUUAUUUUCAGUGUCGCAGGGAAACCGAUAAACACACCGCCUGGGGAGUACGACCGCAAGGUUAAAACUCAAAUGAAUUGACGGGGACCCGCACAAGUAGUGGAGCAUGUGGUUUAAUUCGAAGAUACGCGCAGAACCUUACCAACACUUGACAUGUUCGUCGCGACUCUAAGAGAUUAGAGUUUUCGGUUCGGCCGGACAAAACACAGGUGCUGCAUGGCCGUCGUCAGCUCGUGUCGUGAGAUGUUGGGUUAAGUCCCGCAACGAGCGCAACCCUCACUUUUAGUUGCCAUCAUUAAGUUGGGCACUCUGAAAGAACUGCCAGUGAUAAGCUGGAGGAAGGUGGGGAUGACGUCAAGUCCUCAUGGCCCUUACGUGUUGGGCUACACACGUGCUACAAUGGUAUCUACAACAGGAAGCAAGACUGCGAAGUUAAGCAAAUCCCUAAAAGAUACCUCAGUUCGGAUUGCACUCUGCAACUCGAGUGCAUGAAGCUGGAAUUACUAGUAAUCGUGGAUCAGCGUGCCACGGUGAAUGCGUUCCCGGGUCUUGUACACACCGCCCGUCACACCAUGGGAGUUGGUUCUACCUUAAGGCAAGGUUUCAAACCCUUGACCACGGUAUAGUCAGCGACUGGGGUGAAGUCGUAACAAGGUAGCCGUA